UGCCUCAUACACAUGGAUAACAUACCGAAAGGUAUGCUAAUACAAGAUGAUAUAAGAGAUUCGCAUGGAUUUCUUAUCAAAGCUCCGGCGGUAUGAGAUGGACCCGCGUCUGAUUAGCUAGUUGGUAAGGUAAUGGCUUACCAAGGCGACGAUCAGUAGCCGACCUGAGAGGGUGAUCGGCCACAUUGGAACUGAGACACGGUCCAAACUCCUACGGGAGGCAGCAGUGGGGAAUAUUGCACAAUGGGCGAAAGCCUGAUGCAGCAACGCCGCGUGAGCGAUGAAGGCCUUCGGGUCGUAAAGCUCUGUCCUCAAGGAAGAUAAUGACGGUACUUGAGGAGGAAGCCCCGGCUAACUACGUGCCAGCAGCCGCGGUAAUACGUAGGGGGCUAGCGUUAUCCGGAUUUACUGGGCGUAAAGGGUGCGUAGGUGGUUUCUUAAGUCAGGAGUGAAAGGCUACGGCUCAACCGUAGUAAGCUCUUGAAACUGGGAAACUUGAGUGCAGGAGAGGAAAGUGGAAUUCCUAGUGUAGCGGUGAAAUGCGUAGAUAUUAGGAGGAACACCAGUAGCGAAGGCGGCUUUCUGGACUGUAACUGACACUGAGGCACGAAAGCGUGGGGAGCAAACAGGAUUAGAUACCCUGGUAGUCCACGCCGUAAACGAUGAGUACUAGCUGUCGGAGGUUACCCCCCUCGGUGCCGCAG
rnacentral:rRNA from 1 species